UUUUCUGGAAGUCAGGAUGACCUUCACCACUAUCACUAUAGGAGUGGCUAGAUCAGCAUCCUGAGGCUGGUAGCUGAGUGCAGCCAUUCCAGAGUCUAGAUGAGCUUCAGCUGUUACUUUGGCCCUGUGGUCACAUUUUUCUUCAUACUCAGUUCACAUCUAUCAUGAGUGGUAUAAUGGCAGAGCAGCUGGACACAUUGUGUUGCUUCAUUUGCUUAGACAAUACCAUCUGGGCUUGAGACUCGGCCCAGCGUUGAUUCAAAAAACCCACAGUCCCCACAGCUUCAUAAAUUGGAUGCAUGAUCUGCUGAGAGAAAGUGGUAGCGUCUAGCACCUAUUUUGUUAUCAAGAUCUUCUUGAAUUCAGAGAGGGCAGUGUGAAUUCAUAAUGCACUGGGCUAAUGUAUCUUCAUAUAUAUGAAUGAAAUUGUCAGCACCAUGGUGAUGGGACCACAUAUUUUAGGAGGACGUGUACAGGUAGAGCCAUUGACUAACUGGUGCAAUGCAGCCAUUUGGCAAUCAGACAAAAGUAACCUUUUUAUCAUUAUCUAUGAAGGACCAGACAGGGAUCUGUAGACCCUGGAAGGGAUGAUCAAGAAGGCUGUAUCAGCCUUAAUCAUUGGAAGCUUGAGCAAAAACAAGAUCAAGAACCACUUCUAGAAGAUAAUGGUUUUGAGCACAUUCAAGUUGUUCAAAGAUAAGCUGUGAUACCUGAUGUGGUGGAUGAUAUCUUUGCCCAAGAAGACUGUGUAUUUUAGCUUGUACCUGGUCUCCAACAGUAACCUCUAACUGAAGAAAAAGCAAUAGAAAGAUAUUGAUCUGAUCAACCUAGAAUAUAUUUAUCCCAUCUGCCAAUAUCACAGGAAAACCUUUUCUGUAUGUCAUUUUGGGUGGUGGUAACAGGGUGGUCCUAUACCAUCUCACCAUUCUUGUGUACUAUCAACUGCAGCUGAUGAGUACCAUGUGGAUAAGCAUCAUGAAGAAACACUUUUCUGAGUUGGUGCCAGACACAGUGUACAGAGCCCCUACCUACUAUCCUACCUGGACCACAAGUAUCUUGGCAUCUGUGGUCAUCACUC
rnacentral:lncRNA from 1 species